AAGACUAUAGACCUGCGGAGUACCUGCGGAGGGAUCAUUACCGAGUUUUCAACUCCCUAACCCUUCUGUGAACCUACCUAUCGUUGCUUCGGCGGACUCGCCCCAGCCCGGACGCGGACUGGACCAGCGGCCCGCCGGGGACCUCAAACUCUUGUAUUCCAGCAUCUUCUGAAUACGCCGCAAGGCAAAACAAAUGAAUCAAAACUUUUAGCAACGGAUCUCUAGAUCGGAAGAGCACAC
rnacentral:misc_RNA from 1 species